UACGUAGGGGGCUAGCGUUGUCCGGAAUCAUUGGGCGUAAAGAGCGUGUAGGCGGCCCGGUAAGUCCGCUGUGAAAGUCGGGGGCUCAACCCUCGAAAGCCGGUGGAUACUGUCGGGCUAGAGUGCGGAAGAGGCGAGUGGAAUUCCUGGUGUAGCGGUGAAAUGCGUAGAUAUUGGGAAGAACACCUGAGGCGAAGGCGGGUUGCUGGGCCGACACUGACGCUGAUGCGCGAAAGCCAGGGGAGCGAACGGG
rnacentral:rRNA from 1 species